rnacentral:rRNA from 1 species
CUCCUACGGGAGGCAGCAGUGGGGGAUAUUGCACAAUGGGGGAAACCCUGAUGCAGCGACGCCGCGUGGAGGAAGAAGGUUUUCGGAUUGUAAACUCCUGUCGUUAGGGACGAUAAUGACGGUACCUAACAAGAAAGCACCGGCUAACUACGUGCCAGCAGCCGCGGUAAAACGUAGGGUGCAAGCGUUGUCCGGAAUUACUGGGUGUAAAGGGAGCGCAGGCGGACCGGCAAGUUGGAAGUGAAAUCCAUGGGCUCAACCCAUGAACUGCUUUCAAAACUGUUUUUCUUGAGUAGUGCAGAGGUAGGCGGAAUUCCCGGGGUAGCGGUGGAAUGCGUAGAUAUCGGGAGGAACACCAGUGGCGAAGGCGGCCUACUGGGCACCAACUGACGCUGAGGCUCGAGAGUGUGGGUAGCAAACAGGAUUAGAUACCCUGGUAGUCCACACCGUAAACGAUGAUUACUAGGUGUUGGAGGAUUGACCCCUUCAGUGCCGCAGUUAACACAAUAAGUAAUCCACCUGGGGAGUACGACCGCAAGGUUGAAACUCAAAGGAAUUGACGGGGGCCCGCACAAGCAGUGGAGUAUGUGGUUUAAUUCGACGCAACGCGAAGAACCUUACCAAGUCUUGACAUCCCUUGACGAACAUAGAAAUAUGUUUUCUCUUCGGAGCAAGGAGACAGGUGGUGCAUGGUUGUCGUCAGCUCGUGUCGUGAGAUGUUGGGUUAAGUCCCGCAACGAGCGCAACCCUUAUGGUCAGUUACUACGCAAGAGGACUCUGGCCAGACUGCCGUUGACAAAACGGAGGAAGGUGGGGAUGACGUCAAAUCAUCAUGCCCUUUAUGACUUGGGCUACACACGUACUACAAUGGCGUUAAACAAAGAGAAGCAAGACCGCGAGGUGGAGCAAAACUCAGAAACAACGUCCCAGUUCGGACUGCAGGCUGCAACUCGCCUGCACGAAGUCGGAAUUGCUAGUAAUCGUGGAUCAGCAUGCCACGGUGAAUACGUUCCCGGGCCUUGUACACACCGCA